CUAACCACCAGUCGAGCGAAUGGAUUAAGAGCUUGCUCUUAUGAAGUUAGCGGCGGACGGGUGAGUAACACGUGGGUAACCUGCCCAUAAGACUGGGAUAACUCCGGGAAACCGGGGCUAAUACCGGAUAACAUUUUGAACUGCAUGGUUCGAAAUUGAAAGGCGGCUUCGGCUGUCACUUAUGGAUGGACCCGCGUCGCAUUAGCUAGUUGGUGAGGUAACGGCUCACCAAGGCAACGAUGCGUAGCCGACCUGAGAGGGUGAUCGGCCACACUGGGACUGAGACACGGCCCAGACUCCUACGGGAGGCAGCAGUAGGGAAUCUUCCGCAAUGGACGAAAGUCUGACGGAGCAACGCCGCGUGAGUGAUGAAGGCUUUCGGGUCGUAAAACUCUGUUGUUAGGGAAGAACAAGUGCUAGUUGAAUAAGCUGGCACCUUGACGGUACCUAACCAGAAAGCCACGGCUAACUACGUGCCAGCAGCCGCGGUAAUACGUAGGUGGCAAGCGUUAUCCGGAAUUAUUGGGCGUAAAGCGCGCGCAGGUGGUUUCUUAAGUCUGAUGUGAAAGCCCACGGCUCAACCGUGGAGGGUCAUUGGAAACUGGGAGACUUGAGUGCAGAAGAGGAAAGUGGAAUUCCAUGUGUAGCGGUGAAAUGCGUAGAGAUAUGGACGAACACCACUGGCCAAGGCGACUUUCUGGUCUGUAACUGACACUGACGCGCGAAAACCUGCGGAGCAGCCACGAUUAUGAUACCCUGGUAGUCCACGCCCUCAACCAUCAGUGCCACAUGGAAGAGAGGUUUCCUCCUCUCGUGCGAAAAUUUACACCUUUAAAUCACCCCCCCCCGGAGUAUCCGCGCGCGGUCGCAACACACAUGAAAAAAACA
rnacentral:rRNA from 1 species